GUAAUACUCCCUCCGUUCCAAAUUACUCGUCGCAGAAAUGAAUGCAUCUAGAACUAAAAUAUAUCUAGAUAUAUCCAUAUCUACGACAAGUAAUUUGAAACGGAGGGAGUACUAG
rfam:Triticum aestivum genome assembly, contig: Triticum_aestivum_CS42_TGACv1_scaffold_000516_1AL